ensembl:snRNA
GUGUUGUAUGAAGAAAAAAAAGAAUGCUAGUAUUUUUCUUGAUAAGAAUGAAAGUUUUUACAACAUAUAUGUGGUUAAGGCAUUGCUGCCUACUCUUUGGCACUUAAUUAUAUUUUUCU